UACGCAGGGGGCUAGCGUUGCUCGGAAUUACUGGGCGUAAAGGGCGCGUAGGCGGCCAGUUUAGUCAGAGGUGAAAGCCCAGGGCUCAACCUUGGAACUGCCUUUGAUACUGACUGUCUUGAGUUCGGGAGAGGUGAGUGGAAUGCCGAGUGUAGAGGUGAAAUUCGUAGAUAUUCGGCGGAACACCAGUGGCGAAGGCGACUCACUGGCCCGAUACUGACGCUGAGGCGCGAAAGCGUGGGGAGCAAACAGG
rnacentral:rRNA from 1 species